GAUGAAGAACGUAGCGAAAUGCGAUAAGUAAUGUGAAUUGCAGAAUUCAGUGAAUCAUCGAAUCUUUGAACGCACAUUGCGCCCGCCAGUAUUCUGGCGGGCAUGCCUGUUCGAGCGUCAUUUCAACCCUCAGUCCCCCAGUGCCUGGUGUUGGGGAUCGGCCCAGCCUUCCUGUAAGGCCGCCGGCCCCGAAAUCUAGUGGCGGUCUCGCUGUAGUCCUCCUCUGCGUAGUAGCACAACCUCGCAGUUGGAACGCGACGGUGGCCAUGCCGUUAAACACCCCACUUCUGAAAGUUGACCUCGGAUCAGGUAGGAAUACCCGCUGAACUUAAGCAUAUCAAUAAGCGGAGGA
rnacentral:misc_RNA from 1 species